rnacentral:rRNA from 1 species
CGGCAUGCCUUACAGUAUGCAAGUCGAACGGCAGCACGGGAGCAAGUCCUGGUGGCGAGUGGCGAACGGGUGAGUAAUAUAUCGGAACGUGCCCGGUCGUGGGGGAUAACGUAGCGAAAGCUACGCUAAUACCGCAUACGAUCUACGGAUGAAAGCGGGGGAUCGCAAGACCUCGCGCGAUUGGAGCGGCCGAUAUCAGAUUAGGUAGUUGGUGAGGUAAAGGCUCACCAAGCCGACGAUCUGUAGCUGGUCUGAGAGGACGACCCAGCCACACUGGGACUGAGACACGGCCCAGACUCCUACGGGAGGCAGCAGUGGGGAAUUUUGGACAAUGGGCGCAAGCCUGAUCCAGCAAUGCCGCGUGCAGGAUGAAGGCCUUCGGGUUGUAAACUGCUUUUGUACGGAACGAAACGGUGAGCUCUAAUACAGUUUGCUAAUGACGGUACCGUAAGAAUAAGCACCGGCUAACUACGUG